AUUGAACGCUGGCGGCAUGCCUUACACAUGCAAGUCGAACGGCAGCGGGGGAGAAGCUUGCUUUUCCUGCCGGCGAGUGGCGAACGGGUGAGUAAUACAUCGGAACGUGCCCUGUAGUGGGGGAUAACUAGUCGAAAGAUUAGCUAAUACCGCAUAUGACCUGAGGGUGAAAGUGGGGGACCGCAAGGCCUCAUACUAUAGGAGCGGCCGAUGUCUGAUUAGCUAGUUGGUGGGGUAAAGGCCUACCAAGGCGACGAUCAGUAGCUGGUCUGAGAGGACGAUCAGCCACACUGGGACUGAGACACGGCCCAGACUCCUACGGGAGGCAGCAGUGGGGAAUUUUGGACAAUGGGCGAAAGCCUGAUCCAGCAAUGCCGCGUGUGUGAAGAAGGCCUUCGGGUUGUAAAGCACUUUUGUCCGGAAAGAAAUGGCUCUGGUUAAUACCUGGGGUCGAUGACGGUACCGGAAGAAUAAGGACCGGCUAACUACGUGCCAGCCGCCGCAGUAA
rnacentral:rRNA from 1 species